UACGUAGGUGGCAAGCGUUGUCCGGAUUUAUUGGGUUUAAAGGGUGCGUAGGUGGGCCGGUAAGUCCGUGGUGAAAUCUCUGAGCUUAACUCAGAAACUGCCGUGGAUACUAUCGGUCUUGAAUACCGUGGAGGUGAGCGGAAUAUGUCAUGUAGCGGUGAAAUGCUUAGAUAUGACAUAGAACACCAAUUGCGAAGGCAGCUCACUACACGCCUAUUGACACUGAGGCACGAAAGCGUGGGGAUCAAACAGG
rnacentral:rRNA from 1 species